AGUAUAGUAAGCUAACUAAAAAGCUUCUGGGCCCAUACCCCAGACAUGUAGGUUAAAGUCCUGCCUAUGCUA
rnacentral:tRNA from 1 species